rnacentral:piRNA from 1 species
GUGCAUGCAUAGAGAACUCCGCAUUAAAUG